UUGUAGUCUGCAACCCGACUACAUGAAGCUGGAAUCGCUAGUAAUCGCGGAUCAGAAUGCCGCGGUGAAUACGUUCCCGGGUCUUGUACACACCGCCCGUCACACCAUGGGAGUCGGGAAUGCCCGAAGCCGGUGGCCCAAUCGAAAGAAGGGAGCCGUCGAAGGCAGGCCGGAUGACUGGGGUGAAGUCGUAACAAGGUAUC
rnacentral:rRNA from 1 species